AUUGAACGCUGGCGGCAGGCCUAACACAUGCAAGUCGAGCGAGCGGCGGACGGGUGAGUAAUGUAUGGGGACUGCCCGUUAGAGGGGGAUAACUACUGGAAACGGCGGCUAAUACCGCAUACUAUCGGAUAACCUAUAUGGGCUUAGCUAGUAGGUAAGGUAAUGGCUUACCUAGGCGACGAUCCCUAGCUGGUCUGAGAGGAUGAUCAGCCAAACUGGAACUGAGACACGGCCCAGACUCCUACGGAGGCAGCAGUGGGGAAUAUUGCACAAUGGGCGCAAGCCGGAUGCAGCCAUGCCGCGUGUAUGAAGAAGGCCCUAGGGUUGUAAAGUACUUUCAGUCGGGAGGCGUUACCGACCGAGAAAGCACCGGCUAACUCCGUGCCAGCAGCCGCGGUAAUUC
rnacentral:rRNA from 1 species